AGUUGGCUCUGGCUGGCUUCAGGAGCUGCUCGCUGCUGUGGUGCAAGAAACAUGGCGGGUGCCACAGCAGCGAGCAGCUCCUGAAGCCAGCCAGAGCCAACU